GUUGAUCGCAGUUAUAGUGCGCGUGUGCGGCAGAUCUCUCUUUUUCUGUUUUGGAAGGUGGUGGUCGGCUUGUUGCAGUUUUCACUGUGAAACCGGACCCACCUUUUCUCGAAGCAUCAUGCAGCUGUUUCUACAUGCUCAGAAAACCCACACUCUUGAUGUGACUGGGGAAGAGACCGUUGGGCAAAUUAAGGCCCAUGUUGAAUCCCUGGAAGGAGUCUCUGCUGUUGACCAAGUGAUCCUCUUGGCUGGCACUCCCUU